rnacentral:piRNA from 1 species
GACAUUUUGAGGAAUGUUUGGUGUAUGUG